rnacentral:misc_RNA from 1 species
UGCUAAGCUAGCACCCAGAAGC